rnacentral:lncRNA from 1 species
GGGGAGAGGACUAGGAACUCAAUCUAAUCUCCAGUGAGGGCUUUAACCCUGAAAAUAGCAACUCAAUCAGAACCAAAUCAAAUAUGAAAAAAGAAUAAAAAUAGAGCAAUUUUCCUUUCAACUCAAAUCCAGCAACUUGCUUGUGAUAACCUGAUCAUUGACGGUAGCUGAGGGACUAAAAGAAGAUGGAGAGACAAGUGAG